GACGAACGCUGGCGGCGUGCCUAAUACAUGCAAGUUGAGCGCUGAAGGUUGGUACUUGUACCGACUGGAUGAGCAGCGAACGGGUGAGUAACGCGUGGGGAAUCUGCCUUUGAGCGGGGGACAACAUUUGGAAACGAAUGCUAAUACCGCAUAAAAACUUUAAACACAAGUUUUAAGUUUGAAAGAUGCAAUUGCAUCACUCAAAGAUGAUCCCGCGUUGUAUUAGCUAGUUGGUGAGGUAAAGGCUCACCAAGGCGAUGAUACAUAGCCGACCUGAGAGGGUGAUCGGCCACAUUGGGACCGGGACACCGCCCAAACUCCUACGGGAGGUAGCAGUAGGGAAUCUUCGGCAAUGGACGAAAGUCUGACCGAGCAACGACGCGUGAGUGAAGAAGGUUUUCGGAUCGUAAAACUCUGUUGGUAGAGAAGAACGUUGGUGAGAGUGGAAAGCUCAUCAAGUGACGGUAACUACCCAGAAAGGGACGGCUAACUACGUGCCAGCAGCCGCAGUAA
rnacentral:rRNA from 1 species